GCGGAGGAAAAGAAACCAACAGGGAUUACCUUAGUAACGGCGAGUGAAGCGGUAACAGCUCAAAUUUGAAAUCUGGUCCCCUCUGGGGGCCCGAGUUGUAAUUUGAAGAGGAUGCUUUUGGCGAGGCGCCUUCCGAGUGCCCUGGAACGGGACGCCACAGAGGGUGAGAGCCCCGUAUGGUAGGACGCCGAGCCUCUGUAAAGCUCCUUCGACGAGUCGAGUAGUUUGGGAAUGCUGCUCAAAAUGGGAGGUAAACCCCUUCUAAAGCUAAAUAUUGGCCAGAGACCGAUAGCGCACAAGUAGAGUGAUCGAAAGAUGAAAAGCACUUUGAAAAGAGAGUUAAACAGCACGUGAAAUUGUUGAAAGGGAAGCGCUUGCGACCAGACUUGCGCCCGUCGGAUCAACCGUCCCUCGUGGGCGGCGCACUCCGGCGGGCUCAGGCCAGCAUCAGUUUUCCCGGGGGGAGAAAGGCGGUGGGAAUGUGGCUCUUCGGAGUGUUAUAGCCCUCCGCGUAAUGCCCCCGGGGGGACUGAGGACCGCGCGUAAGCAAGGAUGCUGGCGUAAUGGUCGUCAGCGACCCGUCUUGAAACACGGACCAAGGAGUCGUCCUAAUAUGCGAGUGUACGGGUGUAAAACCCCUGCGCGUAAUGAAAGUGAACGGAGGUGAGAGCUUCGGCGCAUCAUCGACCGAUCCUGAUGUUCUCGGAUGGAUUUGAGUAAGAGCAUAUUGGGCCGGACCCGAAAGAAGGUGAACUAUGCCUGUAUAGGGUGAAGCCAGAGGAAACUCUGGUGGAGGCUCGCAGCGGUUCUGACGUGCAAAUCGAUCGUCAAAUAUGGGCAUGGGGGCGAAAGACUAAUCGAACCUUCUAGUAGCUGGUUUCCGCCGAA
rnacentral:sRNA from 1 species